rnacentral:rRNA from 3 species
AGCGAACGCUGGCGGCAGGCUUAACACAUGCAAGUCGAGCGGGCGUAGCAAUACGUCAGCGGCAGACGGGUGAGUAACGCGUGGGAACAUACCUUUUGGUUCGGAACAACACAGGGAAACUUGUGCUAAUACCGGAUAAGCCCUUACGGGGAAAGAUUUAUCGCCGAAAGAUUGGCCCGCGUCUGAUUAGCUAGUUGGUAGGGUAAUGGCCUACCAAGGCGACGAUCAGUAGCUGGUCUGAGAGGAUGAUCAGCCACAUUGGGACUGAGACACGGCCCAAACUCCUACGGGAGGCAGCAGUGGGGAAUAUUGGACAAUGGGGGCAACCCUGAUCCAGCCAUGCCGCGUGAGUGAUGAAGGCCCUAGGGUUGUAAAGCUCUUUUGUGCGGGAAGAUAAUGACGGUACCGCAAGAAU